GACGAACGCUGGCGGCGUGCCUAAUACAUGCAAGUAGAACGCUGAAGGAGGAGCUUGCUUCUCUGGAUGAGUUGCGAACGGGUGAGUAACGCGUAGGUAACCUGCCUGGUAGCGGGGGAUAACUAUUGGAAACGAUAGCUAAUACCGCAUAAGAGUAGAUGUUGCAUGACAUUUGCUUAAAAGGUGCAAUUGCAUCACUACCAGAUGGACCUGCGUUGUAUUAGCUAGUUGGUGGGGUAACGGCUCACCAAGGCGACGAUACAUAGCCGACCUGAGAGGGUGAUCGGCCACACUGGGACUGAGACACGGCCCAGACUCCUACGGGAGGCAGCAGUAGGGAAUCUUCGGCAAUGGACGGAAGUCUGACCGAGCAACGCCGCGUGAGUGAAGAAGGGUUUCGGAUCGUAAAGCUCUGUUGUAAGGGAAGAACGAGUGUGAGAGUGGAAAGUUCACACUGUGACGGUAUCUUACCAGAAAGGGACGGCUAACUACGUG
rnacentral:rRNA from 1 species